AGAGUUUGAUUAUGGCUCAGGAUAAACGCUGGCGGCGUGCUUAACACAUGCAAGUCGAACGGAGUAUUCCUCCCGAGACCAAGGAAGCUUGCUUCUGAGGAAUCAUUUGGAAUACUUAGUGGCGGACGGGUGAGUAACGCGUGGGUAACCUGCCCUAUACAGGGGGAUAACAGCUGGAAACGGCUGUUAAUACCGCAUAAGCGCACAGUAUCGCAGUGGUACAGUGUGAAAAACUCCGGUGGUAUAGGAUGGACCCGCGUCUGAUUAGCUAGUUGGCGGGGUAACGGCCCACCAAGGCGACGAUCAGUAGCCGGCCUGAGAGGGUGUACGACCACAUUGGGACUGAGACACGGCCCAAACUCCUACGGGAGGCAGCAGUGGGGAAUAUUGCACAAUGGGGGGAAACCCUGAUGCUAAGCGACGCCGCGUGAGUGAGGAAGUAUUUCGGUAUGUAAAACUCUAUCAGCAGGGAAGAUAAUGACGGUACCUGACUAAGAAGCACCGGCUAAAUACGUGCCAGCCGCCGC
rnacentral:rRNA from 1 species